ensembl:lncRNA
UACCUCCUGCUGGACCCGUGCCCAGCUGACCACAUGUGUUUGGCUGUCUGCCUUCUCUUCAUGUUGACCUCUGUGCACUGUGUUCCCUUUGGACUUUAGUUACAAGAAUAUGGUGUUUAUGAUAUGUUCUUUUGCCUCCCCAUGGCAUUCUUGCUUUUUUACGUUAGUGUCACAUGUUACGUGAUCUCACCCCUACUGUUUAUAUGUUAAACACACAUGAUUCAGAUGUGUGCUGCCUUUAUCUACGUUGCCUGGACCCUGUUCUUGGCUCUGGCCUUUCCCACCUGUCUUUAACGUGGACACUCAUGAGUCAUCCCACAAGAGGACCAGUGCAUCCUUAAGCUCUGCUACUUCAGGGCCCGUGACUUGCUGGCUGGUUCAUGUGACCAUGCAUGCCAUCUAUGGCAAGCUCUUCUGUUGCCACUGCAAAAUGAAGCUUGUGCACAUGGUAUUGGCCGUCAGCCAAAACUGAUUGUUCCGUGGCUCUGGGGUCACCAGCCAAGGUGCCAUCUACAAGAUCUCUGGCUUUGGCCAGGGGCCCAUGCUGUCCUCCUGGACACAGAUGAGGUUAAGGGUGAGAAGCAGUAUGCCAUGUGUUCUGUACCAUCAUGCAUCUCUUCCUGCCUCUGGGCCCUUCUCCUGGUGAACCUUCGUCAGGGUCUGCACCAUGACCCGUCACUAUGAGGCCAUUGAGUUUUGUCUAGGUUGCUAUCGGCCCCAGUUGGCUUCCUGGUCAACAAGGACCUCAAGAACUGCUUGUGGACCCAGGCCCCCUGCCGGUGUUUGAGACACACACCUACCCUCCCCAGCCUUCCAGCAACCCUCCUGGCUGCCGGACUGAUGGGCGGGCUGGUAUGUAUGGACAUGUGUUCACUGCCAUCAAGCUGUGGCUCCAGGUGUGGCCUUGUGUAUGUGGAAGAUUAAUGUAUAUGCUGCUUAUUUUGUCUCUAAGUAAAUCUAACCACUUUCCUCAUUUUUUGCUUAAUGGGAAAAUAGAACUGUACAGGUCUGCCUGCCUUUUUUUUUUUUUUUUUUUUUUUUGAGCUGCUUCUUCUUUGUUAUGGACAUUUUCAGACGUGCACAGAAGUGGAGAGGAUGGUCUCUGGACCCCGUGUGCCCAUCGCCUAGCUACAUCAGUUAUCAAUUAUGAUCAACCUGGUUUCAUCUGUGUCUCCCUCUCCCUGCCUGUAUUGUUUAUCAAAAGUCCAAGAUCCUGUGCCAUUUCAACCAGGACUGCUUUGGGAGAUUGGGACUGUGUGUUGGUGGUGAUAGUGGUGGGGUGCAUUGUCAUUAUCACAUCAGGUCUGUUUUUUGCUUUUCGUGUUAACUAAUGAAGUUCCAGAGGUGGGCCUUAGAUUGAAAGUCUUCGCAAGUAACAAGAAGUCGCACAAAGAGAUGAAGGGGAUGCUGCCUUUUCCCUGCAUCCGCAAAAGGAGAGAGAGACCGUUCGCUGAUAAAGACUGAUCAGUCUUUGAUAAGGUGCUUACUUGAGAUCUUUCACCAGAGCAUCAGUCUUUUUUCCUGUGUAAGAUGGAGACUUGUGUGACUGUUAGAAUUAUCAGCUUGUCCUGGUCUCAUAAUACAACUCUGGGCUUGAAAGUAUAAUUUGGAAAUUGUUGCUGUGUUCUGUGAUAAUAACCCCCCAACAGUAAUCAGUAACUGGUCGUCUUACUUGGUAAUUGACACCCUGGUAAUACAAUUAUUUCUUUGUUCUGAAACAGUUUAAAUAGUUGUAAGUUUGCAUGCGUGAUGGAAAAAAUAAAAGCCUGUAUCUCUGUUACAUUUUUUUAUCUUUGAAAAAGAAUUGGAAGGUUAAGCAGAGGCUG